rnacentral:rRNA from 2 species
AGACCCGAAACCCGGUGAUCUAGCCAUGGGCAGGUUGAAGGUUGGGUAACACUAACUGGAGGACCGAACCGACUAAUGUUGAAAAAUUAGCGGAUGACCUGUGGCUGGGGGUGAAAGGCCAAUCAAACCGGGAGAUAGCUGGUUCUCCCCGAAAGCUAUUUAGGUAGCGCCUCGUGAACUCAUCUCCGGGGGUAGAGCACUGUUUCGGCUAGGGGGCCAUCCCGGCUUACCAACCCGAUGCAAACUGCGAAUACCGGAGAAUGUUAUCACGGGAGACACACGGCGGGUGCUAACGUCCGUCGUGAAGAGGGAAACAACCCAGACCGCCAGCUAAGGUCCCAAAGUCAUGGUUAAGUGGGAAACGAUGUGGGAAGGCCCAGACAGCCAGGAUGUUGGCUUAGAAGCAGCCAUCAUUUAAAGAAAGCGUAAUAGCUCACUGGUCGAGUCGGCCUGCGCGGAAGAUGUAACGGGGCUAAACCAUGCACCGAAGCUGCGGCAGCGACACUUUAGUGUUGUUGGGUAGGGGAGCGUUCUGUAAGCCGUUGAAGGUGUCCUGUGAGGGGUGCUGGAGGUAUCAGAAGUGCGAAUGCUGACAUAAGUAACGAUAAAGCGGGUGAAAAGCCCGCUCGCCGGAAGACCAAGGGUUCCUGUCCAACGUUAAUCGGGGCAGGGUGAGUCGACCCCUAAGGCGAGGCCGAAAGGCGUAGUCGAUGGGAAACGGGUUAAUAUUCCCGUACUUGGUGUUACUGCGAAGGGGGGACGGAGAAGGCUAUGUUGGCCGGGCGACGGUAGUCCCGGUUUAAGCGUGUAGGCUGGUUUUCCAGGCAAAUCCGGAAAAUCAAGGCUGAGGCGUGAUGACGAGGCACCACGGUGCUGAAGCAACAAAUGCCCUGCUUCCAGGAAAAGCCUCUAAGCAUCAGGUAACAUCAAAUCGUACCCCAAACCGACACAGGUGGUCAGGUAGAGAAUACCAAGGCGCUUGAGAGAACUCGGGUGAAGGAACUAGGCAAAAUGGUGCCGUAACUUCGGGAGAAGGCACGCUGACACGUAGGUGAAGUGAUUUACUCACGGAGCUGAAGUCAGUCGAAGAUACCAGCUGGCUGCAACUGUUUAUUAAAAACACAGCACUGUGCAAACACGAAAGUGGACGUAUACGGUGUGACGCCUGCCCGGUGCCGGAAGGUUAAUUGAUGGGGUCAGCGCAAGCGAAGCUCCUGAUCGAAGCCCCGGUAAACGGCGGCCGUAACUAUAACGGUCCUAAGGUAGCGAAAUUCCUUGUCGGGUAAGUUCCGACCUGCACGAAUGGCGUAAUGAUGGCCAGGCUGUCUCCACCCGAGACUCAGUGAAAUUGAACUCGCUGUGAAGAUGCAGUGUACCCGCGGCAAGACGGAAAGACCCCGUGAACCUUUACUAUAGCUUGACACUGAACAUUGAGCCUUGAUGUGUAGGAUAGGUGGGAGGCUUUGAAGCGUGGACGCCAGUCUGCGUGGAGCCGACCUUGAAAUACCACCCUUUAAUGUUUGAUGUUCUAACGUGGACCCGUAAUCCGGGUUGCGGACAGUGUCUGGUGGGUAGUUUGACUGGGGCGGUCUCCUCCUAAAGAGUAACGGAGGAGCACGAAGGUUGGCUAAUCCUGGUCGGACAUCAGGAGGUUAGUGCAAUGGCAUAAGCCAGCUUGACUGCGAGCGUGACGGCGCGAGCAGGUGCGAAAGCAGGUCAUAGUGAUCCGGUGGUUCUGAAUGGAAGGGCCAUCGCUCAACGGAUAAAAGGUACUCCGGGGAUAACAGGCUGAUACCGCCCAAGAGUUCAUAUCGACGGCGGUGUUUGGCACCUCGAUGUCGGCUCAUCACAUCCUGGGGCUGAAGUAGGUCCCAAGGGUAUGGCUGUUCGCCAUUUAAAGUGGUACGCGAGCUGGGUUUAGAACGUCGUGAGACAGUUCGGUCCCUAUCUGCCGUGGGCGCUGGAAGAUUGAGGGGGGCUGCUCCUAGUACGAGAGGACCGGAGUGGACGCAUCACUGGUGUUCGGGUUGUCAUGCCAAUGGCACUGCCCGGUAGCUAAAUGCGGAAAAGAUAAGUGCUGAAAGCAUCUAAGCACGAAACUUGCCCCGAGAUGAGUCUUCCCUGAGACUUUGAGUCUCCUGAAGGAACGUUAAAGACGAUGACGUUGAUAGGCCGGGUGUGUAAGCGCAGCGAUGCGUUGAGCUAACCGGUACUAAUGAACCGUGAGGCUUAACCUUACAACGCCGAAG